UUAACAAAAACAUGUCUUUUUGAGUUAUUUUUAAAGUCUGACCUGCCCACUGAAAUUAUUUAAAUGGCCGCAGUAUUCUAACUGUGCAAAGGUAGCAUAAUCAUUAGUCUUUUAAUUGAAGGCUGGUAUGAACGGUUGGACGAGGUAUAAGCUGUUUCAUAUAAAUUUAUAAUAGAACUUUAUAUUUUAGUCAAAAAGCUAAAAUUUAAUUAAAAGACGAGAAGACCCUAUAAAUCUUUAUAUUUUAAGUUGUUUAAAUUUUUUAGAUUAAUUUUAUUUUUAUAAUUUAGAGUAUUUUGUUGGGGUGAUAUUAAAAUUUAAUGAACUUUUAGUUGUUAAAAAUCAUUAAUUUAUGAGUUAUUGAUCCAUUAAUAGUGAUUAUAAGAUUAAGUUACUUUAGGGAUAACAGCGUAAUUUUUUUGGAGAGUUCAUAUCGAUAAAAAAGUUUGCGACCUCGAUGUUGGAUUAAGAUAUAUUUUUAGGUGUAGCCGCUUAAAUCUUAAGUCUGUCCGACUUUUAAAUUCUUACGUGAUCUGAGUUC
rnacentral:rRNA from 1 species